rnacentral:tRNA from 1 species
GCCUGGGUGGCUCAGUGGGUUAAGCGUCUGACUUCGGCUCAGGUCAUGAUCUCACAGCUCGUGAGUUCGAGCCCCGCGUCGGGCU